rnacentral:misc_RNA from 1 species
AAGUAAAAGUCGUAACAAGGUCUCCGUUGGUGAACCAGCGGAGGGAUCAUUAUCGAGUUUAUAACUCCCAAACCCUAUGUGAACUUACCACUUGUUGCUUCGGCGCGCGCUUCGGCGCCGCCGAGGACACUUAAACUCUUUGUUUUUAUAAGCAUUUCUGAGUGGCCGAAAGGCAAAAUACAAAUGAAUCAAAACUUUCAACAACGGAUCUCUUGGUUCUGGCAUCGAUGAAGAACGCAGC